rnacentral:lncRNA from 1 species
AUCUAGUUCGGGGGAUGCGACGACAUUGGAGUCAGUUAAGAAAGAUUUGCGGAAGUUAAAGAAGAAGGUGAACAACAUUGGAAGGAAAGUUGAGUCCGGCAUCAAAAAGUUUGAGUUAAGUAUCAAAAGGUUGAUCGAUAAGAUGGCGUGUAGACAUGAUGAUAUUUGGGAACCUACUCCAUCUUCUGCUUCGUAUCAGCGGUCAUCUUCACGACAUCCUCUCAUUCCACCGUCUGGUGAUGCUCCUGAGGCUGGAGGUUCUGGAGCUGGUGCUGGAGAUGAUGAUGAUGAUGAUGAGGACACGGAGUGAUUUCUUCGUCGAGCUUAGUCUUUCUCUUUCACUUCAUUUGCAUUUUAGGAUGAUGUUUUAGUUUCAGUUCUGCUUGUUUUAGUUUCAGUUCUGCUUGUUAGGCCUGUAACUAUGACUAGACUACUCUCAUGUUUUCUAGUAUGUUUUCUCUUUCUAUUUGCUUUCUUUUGGCAAUUUUUGACAAAAAGGGGAGAGCGUAGAUGAAGGGGGAGAGCAUGGAUGAGCAGGCUUUGACACUGAAGCAGAGGAUGAUAAGUUCAAGAACAAAGGGGUAGAUGUGAACAAAUGGGAAGAAGGUAUAAGAAUUUACUGCUAAUCAUAUUUGAAUGAAGUGUUUUGCAGGAAAUCAAGAUUUCAAGACUCCUAGUUGCGUCUAAGUCAUAGAGUCUGUUUUAGAAGUUUUGAUGUAAUUGUGAGUUUCAUAUUGUAUUUGGAUUACACGCGAGGGGUUCGAUGUUUUGGUGAUGACAUUGAACUUCGUUUUUUCUUUAAAUUGUAAUUUGUGAGUUUAUGUGUGUUUUGUCACGAAAUUGCCAAAGGG